UACGUAGGGGGCGAGCGUUGUCCGGAUUUAUUGGGCGUAAAGAGCGUGUAGGCGGCUAGGUAGGUCCGUUGUGAAAACUCGAGGCUCAACCUCGAGACGCCGAUGGAAACCAUCUGGCUAGAGUCCGGAAGAGGAGAGUGGAAUUCCUGGUGUAGCGGUGAAAUGCGCAGAUAUCAGGAAGAACACCCGUGGCUAAGGCGGCUCUCUAGUACGGUACUGACGCUGAGACGCGAAAGCGUGGGGAGCGAACAGG
rnacentral:rRNA from 1 species